rnacentral:rRNA from 1 species
AUUGAACGCAGGCGGCAGGCCUAACACAUGCAAGUCGAACGAGUGGCGGACGGGUGAGUAAUGUCUGGGAAACUGCCUGAUGGAGGGGGAUAACUACUGGAAACGGUAGCUAAUACCGCAUACCAUCGGAUGUGCCCAGAGGGGAUUAGCUAGUAGGUGGGGUAAAGGCUCACCUAGGCGACGAUCCCUAGCGGGUCUGAGAGGAUGACCGGCAAAACGGGAACGGAGAAACGGUCAAGACUCGUACGGGAGGAAGCAGUGGGGAAUAUUGGACAAUGGGCGCAAGCCUGAUGAAGCCAUGCCGCGGGUAUGAAGAAGGCCUUCGGUUUGUAAAGUACUUUCAGCGGGGAGGCGUUAACCGCAGAAGAAGCACCGGCUAACUCCGUGCCAGCAGCCGCGGUAAUAC